CCCUUUGGGUGUGACUGCGUACCUUUUGUAUAAUGGGUCAGCGACUUAUAUUCUGUAGCAAGGUUAACCGAAUAGGGGAGCCGGAGGGAAACCGAGUCUUAACCGGGCGUUAAGUUGCAGGGUAUAGACCCGAAACCCGGUGAUCUAGCCAUGGGCAGGUUGAAGGUUGGGUAACACUAACUGGAGGACCGAACCGACUAAUGUUGAAAAAUUAGCGGAUGACCUGUGGCUGGGGGUGAAAGGCCAAUCAAACCGGGAGAUAGCUGGUUCUCCCCGAAAGCUAUUUAGGUAGCGCCUCGUGAAUUCAUCUCCGGGGGUAGAGCACUGUUUCGGCUAGGGGGCCAUCCCGGCUUACCAACCCGAUGCAAACUGCGAAUACCGGAGAAUGUUAUCACGGGAGACACACGGCGGGUGCUAACGUCCGUCGUGAAGAGGGAAACAACCCAGACCGCCAGCUAAGGUCCCAAAGUCAUGGUUAAGUGGGAAACGAUGUGGGAAGGCCCAGACAGCCAGGAUGUUGGCUUAGAAGCAGCCAUCAUUUAAAGAAAGCGUAAUAGCUCACUGGUCGAGUCGGCCUGCGCGGAAGAUGUAACGGGGCUAAACCAUGCACCGAAGCUGCGGCAG
rnacentral:rRNA from 1 species